rnacentral:tRNA from 1 species
UGCGGUAGUUCAGUUGGUUAGAAUAUCGGCCUGUCACGCCGGAGGUCGCGGGUUCGAGUCCCGUCCGCAC